CAAGUGGCUUUUGCCCAAGGGAUUAACUAUGAUUGAAAGAAAAGAAAGAAGGAUCAGAAGCUAGAGUAGUGUACUUUCAGCGAAUCAACCAUUCAACAAGCGGAGUGAUUGUGAGGUUAAAAGUUCUAAAAACAGUCUCACGAGUAAGUUGCCUAUUAAUGUUGUGGCCUGUCCGUCCCAGAGAGAGAUUCCCUCAUAUUUGGUGGUGGUCUUUCUGGCUCGGUUAAGUCAGCGAGUAUCACAAUCAUGGCCGAUCCCUUUCUUGGUCCUCUCUUUUCUUUAAUUUUUCUUCUCUGUUUGCCCAUGCUGUAUCCCAACACCAACACCUCCAUUCCAUUCCCACCCUUUUGCAAUAAUGCCUUCAAUCCAAGCUCUAUUUCGUGGGUUUUUGAUUGGUCGACGAGCUGAGCCUCAACGCAAGCAUUCCAUAAAAUAUAAGAAUGUUUUAUUGAAAAAUAUAUAUUUAGUAAGAUGAUUCUGAGCAUAUUCCAUUGAAUGAGCAGAAUUCAGGUACGUUAUCUCCUAACAUUAAUCACUCCUUAGGGUUAUUUUAGGAGUUGUGAUUUGCAUUGGAAUUAUAGUGGGUACCCCUAUCUAAUGAAGUUUAUAGUAUGAAUAGGAGGGAGAGAAAUAGAUGGAGGGAAGAAUAAUGGAUUUAAAUGCUGUGGCCCUGUUUUUUGCUUUGGUAGUCGCGGUUUUAAAUGCUCAUGCAGACCCUCUUCCCCUCUUAAAUUCUCUCAUCUCUCCUCGCAUGCACCUUGCUCAUUAGCUCUCAUCUGCCCUUCAUCUGAAAAAGAAAAUUUUCACCUCCUCCUCUUCCUCUCUCUCUAAUGGCUUCUGUUUCUUGAUCUUGCACGAUGGUUUUUCUUGUUUCUCGUUUUGUGGGUCUCAAAGAAUCAAGAAAACAUGUAGCUAUUGUUUUGCGUAUUGAAAAUAUAUGUGAAAUAGCGAUUGUGAUAUUGGCCUGGUUCACUCAGACGUGGAAAACCUACCCUUUUCUCGGCUUUAUUUUGCUUGGACGAUGUUGUCUUGCUCUGAUUGAGCCGUGCCAAUAUCUCAGUGCUCUUUCAUUUCUCUGCUAAUAAAACCUUAUUAUUAGAAUGCAACUAUAACAUCAAAGCUGUUAUGAUAAUAAUAGUGAGAUGAACCAGGAACACAUCCGAAGAAGCAGCAGCAGAUCUAUAUCAUUAUCUGGUAGGAAUUGAGCAAUAAGUCAUGCAUGCAUGAUCCAAUAUUGUUUUGGAGGACUUGCAUUUCGAUCUCAUCUUUUACUCUCUCUUCUCCCUUUGUGCCUUGCUUCUUCCGCAUUACGAGAUAGAGAUAGGCACAUACACAAACUCUUUUUUUUAUUAUUAUUAAUUAAGGUACUACUUGUAUAUAUUUAAGUGAUUUGACGUAUGCAUAGAA